ensembl:rRNA 5S_rRNA 5S ribosomal RNA
GUCCACGGCCAUACCACCCCGAACGCGCCCGAUCUCGUCUGAUCUUGGAAGUUAAGCAGGGUCGGACCUGGUUAGUACUUGGAUGGGAGAUCUGGGACUCCUCAAUGACAUGCAUG